CCGCAUCCACCCGCCUCUCUCUCUCUCUCGCUCUUCUCUCCUCUCUCUCUCUCUCUCGCACUCACCCGACGUCGCCCCACCCGCGCGUCGCCGAUUCCCCAUACACGAUUUCUCUCCUCUCCCGCGCCGCCCCUCCAUCGUCGUCGCGUGAAGUCCUCGUCGCCACCGCCGCCAUCGAAUCCUGCCGCCCCGCCAUCGCGCGUGACUCGGCUGCCAUCGAUUCCGACGCCCCGCCAUCGCGCGUGACGCCGUCGACGCCCCUCCAUCGCGCCGCCGUCAAAUCCCGUCUCCAGAUCGACGCCGCUGGUGCCCCUCACUCCAACCGCCAUGGAUCCCCCCUCACCCUCCCAUCCUCUCUCCGCGCACGCCCCCGACCCCGCAGGUCGCAGACGCGACGCCUCCCUCUUCCUCUUGCACGCGCCGCCGCCGCCUUCCACGUCGUUGCCAACGUUUCUGGAUGGAUUGCCAUCGGAACCUUAGCUUAUAUCCGGUCUUCAUGGAAGAAAGUGGUUUACAUUAAAUGGAAGAGAGUAGUAUACCUUUCUACAUAUUGGUCUUCCAGAUGAUUGUGCAAUGCAGUCACGAGUUCCACCUCGGCACCAACUACUUCCAAUCAAGAGGAUUGCCGUUUAGUUCCUUGCUACUUCCAAUCCAGAGAUGGUGCCAGUGAUACUUGCUGCUUCUUGAGCUCUUGCUACGGGUGCAAGCAAUGGUCUACUCUUCCUGUGGCAUAUAGACUUGACGGAGUAAUUGGCCCAGAUGAUUAGCGCUUCAUAUUUUCAGAUGCACAUGUUACUUCCAAAACAUAUAUGUACAUAUAUAUUUAUACUUCACAUCUUUUUAUCCGGUCUGUACACAACUCAAGAUAUCUGUUUUGGGAGCUCUACAAGAGUACGGUCAAGAUAUCUGUAAUAAUGGUCAUCAUUUGAAUAAAAUUCAUGUCGUUCUUUACAUUGUGAAUUUUCGUUUGUGUAGACCUGGGCAUAUUUGGCUUACUUUCAGCAACAGAAAUAGAGUAGAUCAAUGAUGGAAUUGCAUUCUACUGCUGUCCCAAAAGGUUUUUGAUCGACAUCUUCCAGUUCGAUCAGAUAAUGGCGUUUGUUAUGCCUAAGGGGCUAUACCAUGCAUGGUGUUAUCAUUACCAUAUUUUCCAAGUUCUUGACAAAAUUGAUGAUGCCACUGUAUACCAGCCACCAGGUGCUCAAGAAAUAUGAUGAUGCCUCACAACAAGAUUAUCUAUGAGACAUCAGAGGGUAUUUUUGGAACUAAACAUUCCCAGUAAUGUCUUUUUUUUCUCUUUCAAGAGUUGAUGCGUUAAAAGGUCUCCAUAAAGAUGCUAAGCUAAAUUCAGAAAUCGCUGGGUGAUCUUGAGGGUAUAUCUUCCAAAUAAGUGGAAGACAAAUUAAGGUGAAAUUAGGGGGGGGGGCUAUGAUAACUAGAGGUAAUUUCUACUCUGAUCUUGAAAUGGACUGCAAGAACAAAACAUGAGCACGUGCUAUGGUUGGAGGAAGGACACUUUAUAUAUCAGAUUGCUUCAUAACAUAAAUACUUAUUUCUUGGUGCUUGAAGGACCAAACCACCUCAUAGUAAAAAGAUGCUGAUCUAUUAUUGAGUUGUAUAUUCAAACAAAAAGAAUAAAGUUCGAUGAAAAACAGCAUUACCUUGGUUUUUAUAUUAUGAUUCUUAGCUAAAGUUUGGUAAAUUUGCUCAUGUUUUCAGCGAUUCAUUUUAUUUGUAAAUGGACUCUGGUUUUUUUUGGUACAACAUUUUGUAUUAGGGAAACAAUGAAAAGCAUUUUUCAGUGACGUGGAUAUACAACAUUUGUAAUAUCAAAUGCGACCGUAGCGUUAGCACGGGUAUGUUACUAGAUAGAUUAGUUUAGUUUUAGGUUAAGAGAAUAGAGAGGUGAAAACACCUCAUCAAAGUUUGAGCCCAAAUAUUGGUUCAGGCCACCUUGUACACAUACUAGGCAAUAAGGUUGUCAUUUGUUAUGUGUAGUUCUACAAAUUCAAGCUUGUAUCAUAUUGUUGUAGGCAAGGUUACCGACUCUGUAUUUGUUAGCCAUCUUGGCCUUGUUUUGUACAUGUUGAGAAGAUUGAGAAAAUUUUCAAUUGACGUUUCAAGAAACUGCUGGUUCAAGAAUUGUUCUCAGUGAAGAUACAUUGUUCAUUGUUGCAUGUAUAACUUCACAUUUUGGCAUUUUCUGUUGAAACUCAAUUAGUACAAAUGUUGUUUAUGAGACCUCUGAUUCACUAAAUGAGGUGCAUUUCUGCAAUAAUAUUGGUGUUGAUGCGGUGGACUGAUGAAAGCGAAUUUAUUCCUUAGAAAGAACAGCAAAAUUACUUCUGAUUUUGCAUGUUUCAUCUUGGUCAAUUAGCUUCAGUUAAUCAUCAUCUUUAGUUUAUAAUGGUCAUUUUCUUAAAACAAUUGUUCCCAACUCUUACUACUAUUCUGCUUAUAUAUAAUUGUUGAUGGUUUUCAAUUAAUUUUAUCUGACAAUAUGAUUUUUUAUAUUGCUUUACAUAUAUUUGAUAUAUAAUGUGAAUAGAAAUAAAGCUCAAUUGGACUGAUUGAGAGUAAUCCAUCCUGCCAUCGGCGCUUACUCCUGUGCUCAAUGGGAGCUCAAUGACGUGAAUCGAAAUAUUUUUAUAGCUCCGUAGCGUUAGUACGGGCAUAUUACUAGUGUUAAAGAAGGCCUGAACCUGUAUAAAAAAUCCUAGUGUCUCAACCCAUCCACUUUUUCAGCUUGAUAGCCACCGCUUUUAGUAUUGCCGAAAUCUUGUUUCGACACCCCCGCUGCGACUUUUUGCAUAGGAAGCGUCCCUAAGACCUCGCUAACAACGUGUGACCACAUGCAUGCCAGUUUGAUUUGUAGAUCGAGCCGUCGACAAACUCGACAUCUACCCGGAGUUCAUCCUCUCCGCCGGGCUGUCUUCUCCAUACUCGCCUCUAUUCAGACCUGUCCAAGCCGCCACUCAAGCUUCGCCUCAAAACCGUCGCCGCUCGCACUGCUGCCGGCGUCGAUUCCGUCCAUCCCCGGCGACGAAACUACCUUCGGCGGGUUCGCAAGAAAUUCCUCUACAAUUCUUCUUUUGGUUGCGUCGGCCGAGGAGGCGCCGUUCGCCGUCGGGAUCGCCGAAAAGUAGCGCCGGCCAGUGAGCUCGCCUCUGCUGCUGCUCUCCUUCCCAAGCCUAUGACUGGUGGACCCCACUUAAUUAAGCCUAAGAACUGUUAUUAGGAGUAGUUUAAAACUUAUAAGGUUAAAUCUGAAAAAGCACUUAGUAUGACAUGUGGGCCCAGAACCUAUAUUUGUAAAUAAGAAAAACAAUGAGAACACUUAAUAAUAAGUGUAUUAACACGUGCUA